AGAUCAGGCCUGAAAUUGGCAUAUUUCAAUAGAUUUUGAAGGCAAACAGGCAGAUUUUCACACACUAGACUUGAAUAUUGGUUUCCUUAAAUGCUAAAUUGAGCAUAAGUCUUCAUAUUUGAGGUCCUGAAUUGUAUGUUUACUUAUUUUGUUGGAUUUCUUAUAUUUUCAGUACCCAAAAUCCUGAAAUGAGAGCGCUUGAACAAGGUGAAGUUUGUCGCAUAGAAGGGGAUUGACCGCCUUUGUGUAUAUAAGUCUACAACUUCUCAGAUUUGACUGAAGACAAUUGUUUGGUGUUGUGAAUAGAGAAAUAUAUGAAGUAGAGCUCUGCAGUUUUCCAUAAACACACCAAGAAGUUCACAUUUUUUGCACAGAUUUGUGACUCACAUUUAUGGCCUUGAAGAAAUUGUUACAGGAAAAGUGUAAGAAGAUGUGGAAUUGCAAUUCCUGGUGCUGUUUUUGGUGUGUUGAUGGGAGGUUUUCUAUUGAAAAGGUUCCAGAUGGGACCUAAAGGGGCAAUCCAGUUGACAAUCUUGUUAGAUCUUUUAGCACUCAUUGGAUGUGGAUUUUUCUUUUUCCUGGGGUGCGAAAAUCUCAAAAUUGCUGGCGUCACAUUCCCAUACUUUAACAG
rnacentral:lncRNA from 1 species